CAUUCACGGAGAGUUUGAUCCUGGCUCAGGACGAACGCUGGCGGCGUGCUUAACACAUGCAAGUCGAACGAUGAACCACUUCGGUGGGGAUUAGUGGCGAACGGGUGAGUAACACGUGGGCAAUCUGCCCUGCACUCUGGGACAAGCCCUGGAAACGGGGUCUAAUACCGGAUACUGACCCUCGCAGGCAUCUGCGAGGGUCGAAAGCUCCGGCGGUGCAGGAUGAGCCCGCGGCCUAUCAGCUUGUUGGUGAGGUAAUGGCUCACCAAGGCGACGACGGGUAGCCGGCCUGAGAGGGCGACCGGCCACACUGGGACUGAGACACGGCCCAGACUCCUACGGGAGGCAGCAGUGGGGAAUAUUGCACAAUGGGCGAAAGCCUGAUGCAGCGACGCCGCGUGAGGGAUGACGGCCUUCGGGUUGUAAACCUCUUUCAGCAGGGAAGAAGCGAAAGUGACGGUACCUGCAGAAGAAG
rnacentral:rRNA from 1 species